rnacentral:rRNA from 2 species
UCUUCGGAGAGUUUGAUCCUGGCUCAGGAUGAACGCUGGCGGCGUGCCUAAUACAUGCAAGUCGAGCGAACUGAUUAGAAGCUUGCUUCUAUGACGUUAGCGGCGGACGGGUGAGUAACACGUGGGCAACCUGCCUGUAAGACUGGGAUAACUU